rnacentral:rRNA from 1 species
GUCGAGAAUCAUUCGCAAUGGGCGAAAGCCUGACGAUGCGACGCCGUGUGAACGAAGAAGGCCUUCGGGUUGUAAAGUUCUUUCGCCUGGGAACAAGAGAGGAAGACCAAUAAUCUUCUAAUUUGAGGGUACCAGGUAAAGAAGCACCGGCUAACUCCGUGCCAGCAGCUGCGGUAAUACGGAGGGUGCAAGCAUUAAUCGGAUUUAUUGGGCGUAAAGGGCGCGUAGGCGGUUUAGAAAGUCAGUUGUGAAAUUCUGAGGCUCAACUUCAGAGCUGUAACUGAAACUUCUAGACUUGAGGAUAGGCGGAGAAAAUGGAAUUCCACGUGUAGCGGUGAAAUGCGUAGAUAUGUGGAAGAACACCGGUGGCGAAGGCGGUUUUCUAGCUUAUUCCUGACGCUAAGGCGCGAAAGCGUGGGUAGCGAACAGGAUUAGAUACCCUGGUAGUCCUUGCCGUAAACGAUGCAUACUAGAUGUAGUUGGACUCAACCCCGACUGUGUCGAAGCUAACGCGAUAAGUAUGCCGCCUGGGAAGUACACUCGCAAGGGUGAAACUCAAAUGAAUUGACGG